GACGAAGGAUGCAAGCGUUAUCCGGAUUCAUUGGGUUUAAAGGGUGCGUAGGCGGCCAGAUAAGUCAGUGGUGAAAUCCUGUUGCUUAACAACAGAACUGCCAUUGAUACUGUUUGGCUUUGAGUAUAGUUGCUGUGGGCGGAAUAUGACAUGUAGUGGUGAAAUACAUAGAGAUGUCAUAGAACACCGAUUGCGAAGGCAGCUCACAAAACUAUAACUGACGCUGAGGCACGAAAGUGCGGGGAUCAAACAGG
rnacentral:rRNA from 1 species